CACGAGAGGUGUCUGAGCAAAUGUCGGUGAGCACGGUCACCCCCCCCUCGAGCAAGACGGCCUCCUGAACACGGCUCCUGCUCUCGUCACGGGUCGAGGCUGUGGUUUGGAGCCUGAGCUGCCGCUGCCGUAAGCCGGGCUUGGCGAGCACUGAGGCCCCCGAGGGCGACGUGGGUCCCCCCAGGGCUCGUGGCUGGUGGCAAAGCCUGAGGAGCAACAGUGGGACCCGGGCUCCAGCUGCCCCAUCUGUAGAAUGGGGCUAAAGUCAGUUUCCAGCUGCAGGGGACCCAGGACAGGCAGGAAGAACCACUGCAGCUCCAGCCAGAACCCCGUUUUGCAGAUCAAGGACAGGAGUAAAGAUGCAGAGAUCGCACCGCUGCAAGCGUCAGACCCCAGGGCCCCUGGAUCCUGUUCACCCAGAGGAAAGCACAAUUCUCCAGGGGCUUUUCAGUUCCACGGGGAUUUUCUCACCAGCACUGGACCUCAAGCAGCAGUAGGUUUCAGGCUCAGGCUCUGCCAGUAGAGGCUCUGGCGGUGCUUUUCCAGAAUUGCAUGUUGUGGGUCCCUCCUUUUCUCCACCCUGGACCUCCUUUAUCAUUCUUUCCCCAUGGAUCCCUGUGGGAAAA